UCAGCUGCCCACCAUUCCCAGGGUCAGAGCAGUGCUGGCAGGCUGGGAUGCGGUGGGGAUGCCCAGAGGAGGUGCACCAGCAAGGGGACUCCAGGUAUUGCUGCUUUAUCCUUUGGGAUGAACUCAUCUGGGGCAUUGACUUCGAGAAACAGCAGGAGAGAUGCUCAAAACAAGCCUGUGAAGCUGAAAAUAGCACACCCCAGUUGCUGCUGCUUUCAAGAUAAAGAUGUCACCAGAGUUCUCACCCAGAAGAUGGGAAAGGAGAGGAAAAGAAAAAGGAAGAAAGAAUUAUAAUUUUGCUGCUUUCUGGAACACUAAUUCAAGAUGUGUCAGCAUGAGGUGUUGUCUGAAAGACCACACUAUAUAGGUGAGGCACGCAAAUAUCCCCAGCCCUGACAUAUGUUAUAAAAGAUGGGGCAUUUUAUCUCUCUGACUCUAUGCUGGGUUGUGCACAUUUUUGUUAGAAGCAGGUGUAUUUUUGUGUGCAUUCAGCCAUCUUUUCACCUAAUAAUGUGAAUCUCCA
rnacentral:lncRNA from 1 species